rnacentral:rRNA from 1 species
AGUGAACGCUGGCGGUAGGCCUAACACAUGCAAGUCGAACGGCAGCACAGUAAGAGCUUGCUCUUACGGGUGGCGAGUGGCGGACGGGUGAGGAAUACAUCGGAAUCUACUUUUUCGUGGGGGUUAAGGUGGGGAACCUUACGCUAAUACGGCAUACGCCCUACGGGUGAAAGCAGGGGACCUUGGAACCUUGCGCGUUUGAUUGAGCCGAUGUCGGAUUAGCUAGUUGGCGGGGUAAAGGCCCACCAAGGCGACGAUCCGUAGCUGGUCUGAGAGGAUGAUCAGCCACACUGGAACUGAGACACGGUCCAGACUCCUACGGGAGGCAGCAGUGGGGAAUAUUGGACAAUGGGCGCAAGCCUGAUCCAGCCAUACCGCGUGGGUGAAGAAGGCCUUCGGGUUGUAAAGCCCUUUUGUUGGGAAAGAAAAGCAGCAGGUUAAUACCCCGCUGUUCUGACGGUACCCAAAGAAUAAGCACCGGCUAACUUCGUG